UGGGGAAUUUUGGACAAUGGGCGAAAGCCUGAUCCAGCAAUGCCGCGUGUGUGAAGAAGGCCUUCGGGUUGUAAAGCACUUUUGUCCGGAAAGAAAUCCUUGACUCUAAUACAGUCGGGGGAUGACGGUACCGGAAGAAUAAGCACCGGCUAACUACGUGCCAGCAGCCGCGGUAAUACGUAGGGUGCAAGCGUUAAUCGGAAUUACUGGGCGUAAAGCGUGCGCAGGCGGUUUGCUAAGACCGAUGUGAAAUCCCCGGGCUCAACCUGGGAACUGCAUUGGUGACUGGCAGGCUAGAGUAUGGCAGAGGGGGGUAGAAUUCCACGUGUAGCAGUGAAAUGCGUAGAGAUGUGGAGGAAUACCGAUGGCGAAGGCAGCCCCCUGGGCCAAUACUGACGCUCAUGCACGAAAGCGUGGGGAGCAAAACAGGAUUAGAUACCCUGGUAGUCCACGCCCUAAACGAUGUCAACUAGUUGUUGGGGAUUCAUUUCCUUAGUAACGUAGCUAACGCGUGAAGUUGACCGCCUGGGGAGUACGGUCGCAAGAUUAAAACUUAAAUGAAUUGACGGGGUCAUAGCUGUUUCCU
rnacentral:rRNA from 1 species